rnacentral:rRNA from 1 species
UACGUAGGGUGCAAGCGUUGUCCGGAAUUAUUGGGCGUAAAGAGCUCGUAGGUGGUUUGUCGCGUCUGCUGUGAAAACUCAGGGCUUAACCCUGAGCUUGCAGUGGGUACGGGCAGACUAGAGUGCGGUAGGGGAGACUGGAAUUCCUGGUGUAGCGGUGAAAUGCGCAGAUAUCAGGAGGAACACCGGUGGCGAAGGCGGGUCUCUGGGCAAUUCCUGACGCUGAGGCGCGAAAGCGUGGGGAGCAAACGGG